rnacentral:lncRNA from 1 species
GGCGUAUCAAACAAGCUUGUGCGUGCCUGCUAAGUCACUUCAGUCGUGGCCCGCCAGGUUCCUCUGUGCAUGGGAUUUCCCAGGCAAGAAUACUGGAGUGGUUGCCAUUUCCUUCUCCAGGGGAUCUUCCCAACCCAGGGAUUGAACCCACAUCUCUUAUGUCUCCUGCAUUGGCAAGGAGGUUCUUUAUGCCACUAGGUCCACCUGGGAAGCCCACUAAAUGAGCUAAGACUGCGGCAAAUUAACCCAGGAAAGCACACGCAUUCCCUAAUUGGAGAGGCCUUCCGCAAACACCCUCAGAGGCCCAGGCGCAAGCUUCCGCCGCCAGUCUGUCCGCUCUCAGGCCGGGGUAGGGGGACACGCGCGAGGUUCGGCUGUGCCCACGGUCCAGCCACUGCACAAGCCGGCCGUCUCCCAGAGUUCUGAGUAAUCGCCGGAAGCCCGGCCAGAAUCAAAGCGGACGCGAAGCAUCCACCCAGCUGGAAGAGCCGCCGCCGCCGGGGAAGCAGGAAUCUCCCAGAUACCCAGUGUGGGGGCGCUCCCGAGCCCUCGGGGUCCCCCGGCGGCCUCCUGGAGCCUGGAGCUCAGGCGGAGAGAUGCAGGGACGGCGGGAGGCCGGAGGCAGCCGUGGUCAGGGAAGCGAGGGGACCAGAAGGACCACCGGAGGUGUCCGGGCGGAAGGGCCGCGGGGCUGGGGUCGCCCCGGUCCCCGCCGCACCCUGGGGACCCCGGCCCGCUUGGUUUGGGCCUCAAAGACCUCCACUGAUGAAUGCUCUCUGUGAAGCAAACUGCAUUUUUGCCUUCAACUUAUUAAAAAUGUUGGCUGAAGAGGACCACUCGUGACACGUGUUCUUCUCUCUGCUGAGCCUCUCCUUUGUCCUGACCAUGGUCUUAAUGGGGGCUGAGGGGAACACGGUGGCCCAGAUGUCCCAGAGCACCAAAGUUGUCUGGCCAUCUGGUCGACCUUUCGGCGGUGCUUGCCUGACUACAACCAAACAUGAACACAAAUCUGGAUCGCAGGGCAGAGAAGGCAGAGCACCACCACUCCGCACUCGUUUCUCUUACCUAAGUGUUCUCCCGUCCGCGCGCGUUCAGACGCCCUUCCAGGACUACACACCGCGCCAGGCUCGCGUCUCCUUGGUACCCUCAGUGGAGGGCCCGGGCCGUUUUCUGGAUCUCAAACAUUUGGCGCCUCUGACCACCGAUCCCGUGCAGGACUAAAGCCGCGCAUUGGGCCACCUCCUUGCUCGCCCACCGCGUUCCCUGUUGUCACCCGUGGCGAGGGACUCGUGUGUGGCUCACACAACUUUCGAGCCCGUAAGGGGAACAGAAGAGACUACAGGCGGCCCCCGCGAUGACGCAGCACGGCUUCCGACGAACGCAGAGCUUGAUACGACAGCGGCCGUCGGAGAGCAGCUCCCCCGCCGCCCAGCCCUGGUGCGGACCUGGGCCCCCAGGCGAUCAGGACGUGGGGUUGGGAGAGCCUAGCCUGGGGAUCGCGGUGCCGCUGGGAGGGCCGGGCGCGCAGCCCAGCGCCGCCUUGUUCCGCGUGUCCGGCCACGCUCCACUCCGGGGAAGACGCCCGGGAUCCAGGGACGGCCGGCGUGAACCCUGCGCCGUCCGCCGACGGAGACACGGCUACUCCCAGCCGAGGCGGGAAAACAAAAAAUACUGAUCCAGGACACCGCGCGGGGCACUUUACUCUCCUGGCUGCGAGCCGUACCCCAUGCAGCCCCGCGGGCGGAGGAAACGUCCGGAUCGCCGACUAGCUUCUAAAGACACGGCCCGUGCUCGCCACGCAAGCCUGACCGUUCGAGGGAGCAGGACGCGUCCAGGCCCGGAGACGGGGCCCAGGCGCGCCAGCCAACGAGCCCUGCGAGCCCAUACUCGUCCGGUCUGGCCAAGCACCAGAGCCUGGAGAGUGGGGACCCCGGAGGGAGACGAAGGCCCCUAACGGUGACCCAGGAGUUUGGCCGACGAGCCACAGGCACUCCGGCGCCGCAGACCCUUUCUCUGCUCGCUCCGAGGCCCCGCGGAUGUAAGGCCGCGAGGAGAUGCUGGUCGACCAGAGCGAGCGACAACCCGCCCUCAAAGGCCACAGCGCCAGGCCGCUUCACGAAAACCUGCAGACCCAGUCUUCAGCAGGAGCAGGCAUGCCCAGGUCUCCGCAGCACCAUGGUUAUUGCCACCAGUGCUGCCGGCCUCUGGAGCUCUGCGCCGU